rnacentral:misc_RNA from 1 species
AUCGAGGUAAAGCAAAAACUUCAAAUUUUGAAUUAGAUUUCACUAUUAACAGGCUCGUGACUAGAUCCUGGGUGACACUUUCUUUUCCUUAUUGAUGACGAUUUACUUUCCUCCGUUGAAGAUAACUUCGUUGACCUCAAACCUUGAUUUCUCCUCUUCCUUUACUUCUAAUAACACUGACCGUUGCCACCAUCUCUUUCCCAACGAUAACGACAAUGAUAGUGACAAACUUGAGUUAGUUCGUUGCAGGUGGUUCAUUUAAUUUUACCCUCACUUAGAUAUUUGGUGAUAGCCAAGAGGGGGAAAUUGGACAUAUGAGUUUGUGAUUAAUAAUAAGGGGGAAAUUAAAAUUUUUCUUAGUUGGAUUUUAUUUCUCAAGUUGCAUGUAUGGUUAGUUUUAUCGAGGUUGAGAUGAUUUCAGGUUUACAUAGUAUUUGAUUCAAAUCAAAUAAAAACUUAUAAUUCAUUUUAAAUGAACUUCACUUUUUGGUAUGACAUAAUUUAAAAUGCAAAAUUAAAUUGAAUUUCAUAUCCUUCAUAUUUGGUAUAAUUUCAUAA